AUACCGACCAUGUUGCCAUGAGUCCAUGUGACAGCGAGGGGAGGGCACAGGGGCCAAAAGGAGUUAGGCACAAGAAUGUGAGGAGGAGAGAUGGAAACAAGAGUGAGAGUGAGUACAGCAAAGUUACCGAAGCUGGCUUGAAAUUAAGGUGAGAGCCGCAGCCCAGCCGUGUUGGGAUGAGCGCCACAAUGAACGCCACAUUAGUCUACAAGGGAAUAACUGACAUUUACAAUGAGGCAAACGUCUCUGGCAAUGGAAGUGUGAUGGGUGUCUUGAACAUCCCCCCUUCCCUAAACAAAGCCAUCAACAUCCUCUUGGUCGGCAUCCUCUUCAUCACCAUGAUAUCUCUUGGCUGUACGAUGAAGAUUUCCAAAAUAAAGGCCCAUCUCUUUAAGCCAAAAGGAGUAUCCAUUGCUCUGCUGGCCCAGUUCGGCAUCAUGCCCCUGACUGCUUUCUCUCUAGCCAAAAUCCUGCAGAUGGAACCCAUCAAGGCUGUGACUGUGCUCAUCUGCGGCUGCUGUCCAGGGGGAAGCCUUUCCAACAUUUUCUCCCUGGCUAUGAAGGGUGACAUGAACCUCAGCAUCGUGAUGACCACCUGCUCCUGCAUCGCUGCUCUGGGUCUGAUGCCGUUGCUGCUCUAUAUCUACUGCCAAGGUUUUGACGGUCUGGAAGAUGCCGUACCGUACGUCGGCAUCAUCUCUGCUCUCGCUCUCACCCUGGUGCCUUGUGCCAUUGGCAUAGCCAUAAACCACUACAAACCCAAAUACUCACCGUUCAUCAAGAAAGCUGGUCUCGGCAUCCUGCCAGUUGCAGCUGUCCUAGUGUGCGGUCUGUCUUAUUUCGUCAGCAAAGACGUGGUAUGGCUCGUCCUCACACCGGAUGUGCUGACCGUGGGGGCUCUGAUGCCUCUGAUUGGAUUUACGCUGGGAUAUAUGAUGUCUAUGAUAUGCAGACUCAGUCCAAAAUGCUGAACAACUGGUCCAUGCCUUCGUCUCCUCAAGGCUCGAUUACUGCAACGCUCUCCUCAUCGGGACUCCUAGCGGGAGCCCUCAGAAGCUCCAAUACGUACAGAUCAGUGACGCCAGGAUCCUGAUGAGGGUGAGAAAAUACAACCACAUCACACCCGUUCUUUAUUCCCUCCACUGGCUUCCUGUCUCAUUCAGGAUCGAAUACAAGAUCGCACUACUGACCCAUCAAUGCAUCCACGGGAACGCUCCUCCAUACCUGAAGGAACUUCUCACAUCACAAACCUCCACACGCAACCUCCGCUCCACAACCAACCAUCGGCUUCGCCCCCCGAGGACCAAACUCCGCACGAAGGGGGGAUCGGGCUUUCUGUGCAGCUGCUCCUCACCUGUGGAAUUCCCUCCCAGACCACCUGAGGACUCCACAGACCAUGGACGCCUUCAUGAAAGGCCUAAAAACCUUUUUUAUAAAAAAAAGCCUUUGAUUAAACUUUUGUUUGUUUUUAUUAUGCCUCCUUUAGCACCUUGGGAUUGCUGUUAGCAAUGAAAGAUGCAGCAGGACAGUCUCCAUGGAAACAGGGUGUCAAAACAUCCAGCUGUGCACUGCCAUCCUUAAAGUGGCCUUUUCGCCCCAGGUCAU